ACCCAGCUGACGAGUCCCAAAUAGAAUGCAACUCGCGUCCUGGAU
rnacentral:hammerhead_ribozyme from 1 species